ACUGCUCCCAAAGAUGGCGGACGCAUUCGGAGAUGAGCUGUUCAGCGUGUUCGAGGGCGACUCGACCACUGCGGCGGGAACCAAAAAAGACAAGGAAAAGGACAAGGGGAAAUGGAAGGGGCCUCCAGGGUCUGCAGACAAGGCAGGGAAACGUUUUGAUGGUAAAUUACAAUCAGAAUCAACUAAUAAUGGAAAAAAUAAGAGAGAUGUAGAUUUCGAAGGUACAGAUGAACCCAUUUUUGGAAAGAAGCCCAGGAUAGAAGAAUCAAUAACUGAAGACUUAAGUUUGGCAGACCUGAUGCCCAGAGUCAAGGUACAAUCAGUUGAAACUGUUGAAGGGUGCACACAUGAGGCAGAGGUUCGCUGUUGUCCACCAGGCUGGAGUGCGGUGGCGCGAUCUCGGCUUACUGCAACCUCCGCCUCCCGGGUUUAAGCAAUUCUCCUGCCUUAGCCUCCUGGGUAGCUGGGAUUACAGGUGUGUGCCACCAUGCCUGGCUAAUUUUUGUAUUUUUAGUAGAGAUGGGGUUUCACCAUGUUGGCCAGGCUGGUCUCAAACUCCUGACCUCGUGAUCCACCUGCCUCAGCCUACC
rnacentral:sRNA from 1 species